UACGUAGGGCGCAAGCGUUGUCCGGAAUUAUUGGGCGUAAAGAGCUCGUAGGCGGUUUGUCGCGUCUGCUGUGAAAACCUAAGGCUCAACCUUGGGCUUGCAGUGGGUACGGGCAGACUAGAGUGCGGUAGGGGAGACUGGAAUUCCUGGUGUAGCGGUGAAAUGCGCAGAUAUCAGGAGGAACACCGGUGGCGAAGGCGGGUCUCUGGGCAGUAACUGACGCUGGAGGAGCGAAAAGCGUGGGGAGCGAACGGG
rnacentral:rRNA from 1 species